AAAGCUAGAGCAAGAGAAAAUUGAAAAUAACAAGAAUACUUGUUAGUUGAAAGAAGGAAGGAUAACAAAAGGCUUAAUUACUCAAAUAUUGUAAAGUUUGCACUUCAAGAGGUAAAGAAAUCAUGUUUUUGUAUUUCUAGUUUAUGUUCUUAUGUUCUUGAGUAGGAUUCAUGAAAUAAUACAUGUUUAGGUUUAUGAUUAUGUAAUACAAUGUUAUCAAGUCAUAAAAGAUGAAAACUAGUUAAUUAACCCAAGUGGUAACUAGUUAGAGAGAUUAAAAGUAUGAAAUGAGAAACCCCUAAUCUGAACUGUUAUUGUAAAAGUUAUAUAAAAUCAUAUGUUUGGAAUUUGGUUAUGAAAUACAAAGCAAAAUUGUAAAGACGGAAGUUAUGAACGCGUGGGAUUUUGAACGACUCAAAAAUGUUUUAAAACGAAGAAGUUAUGGCCGUUUAACCGAGUCGGGGUUGGACUGCGAGCAAGUUGUCCACUUUAUAAAAAGUCCCUUAAAACUGAGUUUUUGAGUUUGAGCAUUUUAUUUUUACGAAUAAAACCACUAAUGAAAAUAGUCUAGUUAAGUUAUAAAAACACUUAUUAAGAAGUAAAAUUCCAUAAACUAACAUUCGGGUACACGUAACUCAUUAUGUAGGGUUUUAAACGUUUACCAGGAAAUCCUAGUUUGCAUUCGAGGCAAGUCUUCUAUCUCAAACCUAUGUGCAUCUAUUUCUAAGCUUGUUCAUGUGUAUGAAAGCCUAAUGUGAUUUUAAGUAGGAUAUGAUGAUUAAAUGUUAAGUGUUUAAUGAUAUGUUAUGCCAUAUAUGAUUAUGUUAUAUCAUUAAGCAUGAGUUAACAUGAUCGUUAACUGAAAGUUUUGUUAAGUCAAGCAUGUUAAAGUUUAUAUGAAAGCAUAAACUGUGUAUGUGUUAUUUGUUAGACUUGUUGAGUCGUUGUGCUCAUUCUUGCGAAUAAAACUUUAUUUGCAGUUAAAGAAGAAUGAUAAGAAAUCGUGAACGUAAAGAAUCAAUGUAGAUUAGGUUUUAUGUUUUACUUGUAUUUAUAUUAAAUCAUAAUGACUUCUGUAAUACGAACAAGCAAACCAUGUAAUCGAAGAUUAUAUUAAUAAUAUCAUGUUAUUAUCAUCAGAAUGGUAUUAUGUCUUUAAUUUGAUAUAACUUAGAAUUGUUGAAGAUCUAUUAAUCUGAGUGAGGGUAUUGGUAAUAUGGACUGAUCAUGUUAUGCCGAUACUCUGAACUUUAGAUAGAUAGAAAAACAUUAAUACAAUAUUGAUAAAGAACUAUAUAUCUGGAUGAAAAUAUUGAAUAACAUUGUGAGUGUUGUAAAAACAAAGAUUUAGCACCAAUAAAGAAAUCAAAUACAUCGCAAGGUUCCUCUGUUCCAAAUACAAGUGUGUUAUUAAUAUUGUGAAAUUUAGAUAAAUAAGAAAUAUCGAUAUGAAAAUAUAUCUUUAUAAUAAUAUGUAUCUAAGUGAGUGUAUUGAAUGAUAUUGGGAGUUCUAUAAGCACUACACUAAUGAGCAUCGGUAUCAGAAUGCGACCCUCUGUUGCUAAGAACAAUAUUUGUUAUUAAUACGGUGAACCUUGGAUAUAUAGAAGUCUAGAAUGUCUAAAUCAUAAGGUUAAAAUUUUGAUCGAUAUAUAUAUAUAUAUAUAUAUGGUGUUAUCCAUAUAUACGAAUGAACUACAAGUUGAUACUUGUAGAAAGAAUGAGAUCGAGAUCAAGUUACGAUCCAGAGAUGAAGUUAAGGAAAUUUAUAAUUUUAUAGUCUGUAAUACACUAAUUCAACCAAUAUGAUUAUAAGAUCAUUGGUUAAGUUACGAAAGAUGAUGAGUUAAGUCGAAUCCUUGUUCGGGCGGCCAGGGCUCGAAUUCGGGAACGUUACACCAACACCAGGAGAUGAAAACGGUGGCCAAAGGAUUAGGAUCCAUGUUAACUUUUUUUCCCUUUCGUACCACACAACCUACUUAUAGACGAAAAAUGACAGAGGAUCAUAUUAUCAACUGCACUGGAAUAUGUAGAUGCUAAAGUUACCGUUUUCCAACAAGAAAUAUUUUUUGUUCUUUUAAUUUCAACUCAACAUUGUAAUAUCCGAAUGAAAAAAAAAAAGUAAUAAUAUAAUAAAAAAUAUAUAUAUACAUAUAGGUAAUGAAAAAGUAAUUAUUAGUAUCUUAAACCUAUUAGGAUAAGUCAAUUAAACUGUAACAAUCUUUUAAUUUCAAAGAGAACUCUUUUACUUGUUAACCUAUUUUGCAAAGGAAUUAAAUAUAUUUAAAUAACUAGAGAGAGAAGAACGUAAAAAUUAUUUGGCUUUAGAGUACUGCAGAACAGAGAAGAAAAGAAGAAAACUCAAAUGUAAACCUAAACCCUUCUCUUUCAUUUAUAAGUUAAUUCAUAUUUGUAAUUAGAAAUUUUAAAUCAAUGAUUAUAAUAUAUACUCUAUCUGAAUAAAAGAGAUUUUGAAAUACUAUUCAUAUUUUGUGGGAGUAACCUGUUUAAUAAGCUCGUGUGCGCGUUUAAGGGGAGUGCAAAAUCUGAUUGUUCAUGGUCUAUGAAUAUAUAUGUGAAGUGUUGCAGUAAUUUUAUAUAUACUACAAAUAUUUCGAGAGCACAUAACAUCAUAUAUAUAUGUGUAUUAUAUAUAAUACAUAUAGUACAUCAGUAGCUUUUGUGCACAUAUUAUAUAUUAUUUAAAGUAUUUUGUAUGGUAGUUAGGCCUUGCCACGUAAUGGCAGUGUGCCUAGUUUCCCUUGUUCCAUGGUGGAUACUAUCAUGUUUCUUUAAAGUAAUGACAGUCUGCUUUUAAUCAGUUUAUAUCUUGUAUAUAUAUAUAUAUAUAUAUAUAUAUACACACACACACACACACACACAUAUAUAUAUAUAUAUAAUAGGCUUAUUUAUAUAGAUAAAUAGCAUAAUAAUUGAUAAGAUAAGAACACAACUUAUUUUCUUUAUUAAAUUUAUAUUUCAGCACUUAAACUCUCUUGUGAUUAAUUUCUAGUGUAAAAUUUAUUAAGAACUGAAUCAAGUUAGGUAUAUGUGUGUGUAAAAUGAACAGCUACUAGAAUGAAAGUAGUCGCCACUAAGCAAAGCUAUUCGAAAGCUUAUUGGAGGCCCCAGAAACAACUGGUGGGACUAAGCUUUCUAUUUGAGGGGGCAUGGAGUAGAAUAAGGUCAAUGUAAGUAGUUUUUUCGACCAUAGGAUCCAAACGGAUCAACCUUGUUGGGAGGUACUGCCCAAGGAAAGGAAAUACGUUUGAGUUUGGAUAUCUUAUCCUAAUGAUUUGUACAUGUUCUAAUUUUAUAUUUAGGAUUUGUUCACUUUUAAUUGUGUUUUGCAAUAUUGAGAUAAGUGGCUCUCUGAACUAUUUAGUAUUUUGAAAUUAUGUAUUGUUAGCGAUUUUCCGAACUAUUUAGUUUUUUAAAUUAUCGUUUACUUUUAUGUAUGCCUUAGAAAUUACUCGGAUGCCUAAAUGUACUAUUUCAAAAUUUGUUUAAGGCUUCCAUUUAAAUAAAAAUGAUACGUUCUUCUAUUUCAAACUUCGGAUCAAGUAUUUAUUUUUGAACUGUGAAAUACGAUUAUAUGAUUUUGAACUAUGAAAUAAGUAUAGUUUUGAAUACCAAUGAGAUUGUGAAACGUUUUUGAAAUCCUCAGUUCGACUAUGUAUAGAAAGGUGUUUACACUUAGUUUCGAAGCUAAUAUAGGACCUACUAUGGCGCACACCUUUUAGAUGCCCUUUGGGGAGCAUGCAUUUUAUAUUAUAGAUACCUUAGUAGGGUACGUGAUCAUUGACAUUAUCGAACUUUGGGGCCGUGUUAUAAGGUCGCUAAAGCUGUGGAUUAAAAGAUAUAUUGCAUACAUUGAAAUCAUUUUUAAAUAUGAAUUCGCUUUUUUGCUUUGUUAUUAAUUGUUUUAGUUUUGAAAACGAACCUACUAAUGUUAUCAAACAAGAGUUAUUUCUAAAAUGUGUUUUGCAAAUUAUGCUUGAUCCACCUAAAUAGUAAAGAUUGUCACUUGCUGAGCUUUAUCGCUCAGCCCUUACCCCUUACAUAAAUUUUUACAGGUCGCAUCAUUGAUAGUUGAGCAUUUGUUUGAUACACUUGGGAUAGUUGGAGUUUAGUUUUAGAUGUUAUUUCUUUUUGUUGUUGAAUUUUGAUAAAACUCUUAGUUUCGGGGAGCUGCGUUUUACGAUUUUGGUAUUUAGUGGUAUUUUAUUUUGAAUUGGAUCGAGGGAUGUUUAUUGUUGGGUUUUAAAUGUUGGGUUGUGCGCUAUUGAUAUUUUUGUCUCGCAGGUUUUUGGGCUUGCAACAUGUAACACUUCGGACCUGUAGCGCUUUCGGGGUUGUUACAAACAUAAUACCAUAAAAAUAUUUCAAAUUUACCUGUAAGUUGUUCCAAGAGUUUGAGAAUUGUGAAUAAAUUUUAAAAGAGGGGUG
rnacentral:lncRNA from 1 species